GUUUCCAACGAUUCCCUGAUAUUUCAAGUUCAGUUAUGGAUGCUAGAUAUGUUACUCUGUGCUUUCUCCUAAUAAUUGGCUUAAAUGGAAAUCCAACAUCGGCAGAAAAUUGCUUUGAAUUUCCUAAAGUACAUCCAUUUUGCUUAAAGCCUUUGUGCAAGGGUAACUGUUAUUUGGAGGCCAAAUCCCAAGGUGUCAAUUUGAGAGGAUACUAUUGUGAUGGAAAUGGAUUCUGGGGCAUGUGCGUUUGUUCGUUUUGUAAACAUUAAUUAGUUCUCUCAAAAUAGAAAAUAAGAUAGCUCUACGUUUCAAUCCAUUAUCAAGAAGUGUUGUCCAAAUAAUUAUAGGUCGUAUGUUAACUAGUUUGCUCUUUUGUCAUAGAUAGUACACUAGUUAACUAGUUGUUAUUUUUCUAAAUUUCUCACAUAUGUUUGCUUUGAAGGUUCUUUGUCAAGGAACACAUGUGUUUUCAGUGGCUAAAUACUUUAAUAAUACAUUCUGAUGUGCUUUAGGAA